UAUAUGGUUGCAUCUCUCACAUGUGUUGGAAUUUGUUGGGAGGAGGAGAGGGUUGUCUGUGUACAUGAGGCAGUUGUAACAUUGCCUCAAGAUUCCCAGAUUCACCAGCUAGACCGGAUAGGAGAUUGACAACUGACCUUUGGACAUGCCAGAAUAGUAAAA